AUUGAACGCUGGCGGCGUGCUUUACACAUGCAAGUCGGACGAGUGGCGAACGGGUGAGUAACGCAUCGGAACGUACCGAGUAAUGGGGGAUAACUGUCCGAAAGGACAGCUAAUACCGCAUAUUAUUCGAGCGGCCGAUGUCUGAUUAGCUGGUUGGCGGGGUAAAGGCCCACCAAGGCGACGAUCAGUAGCGGGUCUGAGAGGAUGAUCCGCCACACUGGGACUGAGACACGGCCCAGACUCCUACGGGAGGCAGCAGUGGGGAAUUUUGGACAAUGGGCGCAAGCCUGAUCCAGCCAUGCCGCGUGUCUGAAGAAGGCCUUCGGGUUGUAAAGCACUUUCAGCGGGGAGGCGUUACCCGCAGAAGAAGCACCGGCUAACUCCGUGCCAGCAGCCGCGGUAAUAC
rnacentral:rRNA from 1 species